GGAGAGAUGGCAGAGUGGUUGAAUGCGGCGGUCUUGAAAACCGUUAAGGGGGCGACCCCUUCCAGGGUUCGAAUCCCUGUCUCUCCG
rnacentral:tRNA from 1 species